rnacentral:lncRNA from 1 species
CUUUGUCAGGAAUAUUGAGUGACAUAGAUGAGCACAUUAAUGGAGAGGGAGAGGUAACACGAGAAACGGCAGCCUCCAAGGUCUUCCAUCACUCUGCAAAUUCUUACCACACAUGGCUCUGCGUAUCCCCUGACCUGACUCACUCCUCCCUAAUCUCUAAAUUCCUCCACUGUAUCUACUGGAUAUCAUAAUCUAAAGUCAGCAAAAUCUCCUAUUUUAUCAAGCCCUUUUGUAAACAUUUCUCUCUCUCUCUUUUUUUUUUUUUCACUAACUAGAUUCUCUCUGGGACACUCAAGUGUGGCUUACCCCUCUUUUAUACCAUACUUCACUAGGCCUGGAGUUAUUCUGGUAAGCAGAAUAACUCCUCCCCUUGUCCCCAAAGAUGUCCACAUUUAAACCUUAGAAUCUGUGAAUAUGUCCCCUUACAUGGCAAAAUGGACUUUGUAGAUGUGAUUAAGUUAAGGAACUUGAAAUGGGAAGAUUAUUUUGAGUUACCUAGGUAAGUCCAUUAUAAUCAUUUUGGAUUCUUAUAAGAGGGAGGCAGAAGUGUUGGAGUCAGGGAGAGAUUUGAAGAUGCUAACUGCUAGCUUUGAAGAUGGAAGAGGUCAGGAGCCAAGAAAUGCAAGCAGCCUCUACGAAGCUGGAAAAUGCGAGGAAACAGAUUUUUU